rnacentral:miRNA from 1 species
AUUCAGGUCAGUGCAAAAGUGAUUGCGGUUUUUGCCAUUGAAAGUAAUGGCAAAAACCGCAAUCACUUUUGCACCGACCUAA